rnacentral:rRNA from 1 species
GACGAACGCUGGCGGCAUGCCUAAUACAUGCAAGUCGUGCGAAUUGACGAAGUACUUGUACUUCUGACGUUAGCGGCGAACGGGUGAGUAACACGUAAGGAAUCUACCUAUAAGUGGGGGAUAACAUUCGGAAACGGAUGCUAAUACCGCAUAACACAUAUUUCCGCAUGGAAAUACGUUGAAAGACGGCUCUGCUGUCACUUAUAGAUGACCUUGCGGUGCAUUAGUUAGUUGGUGUGGUAAUGGCCUACCAAGACGAUGAUGCAUAGCCGACCUGAGAGGGUGAUCGGCCACAUUGGGACUGAGACACGGCCCAAACUCCUACGGGAGGCAGCAGUAGGGAAUCUUCCGCAAUGGGCGAAAGCCUGACGGAGCAAUGCCGCGUGAGUGAAGAAGGCCUUCGGGUCGUAAAACUCUGUUAUAAGAGAAGAACAAAUUGUAGAGUAACUGCUACAGUCUUGACGGUAUCUUAUCAGAAAGCCACGGCUAACUACGUGCCAGCAGCCGCGGUAAUACGUAGGUGGCAAGCGUUGUCCGGAUUUAUUGGGCGUAAAGGGAGCGCAGGUGGUUUCUUAAGUCUGAUGUGAAAGCCCACGGCUUAACCGUGGAGGGUCAUUGGAAACUGGGAAACUUGAGUACAGAAGAGGAAUGUGGAACUCCAUGUGUAGCGGUGGAAUGCGUAGAUAUAUGGAAGAACACCAGUGGCGAAAGCGACAUUCUGGUCUGUUACUGACACUGAGCUCGAAAGCGUGGGGAGCAAACA